UACAGAGGGUGCGAGCGUUGUUCGGAAUUAUUGGGCGUAAAGGGCGCGUAGGCGGCGCCACAAGUCACUUGUGAAAACUCUGGGCUCAACUCAGAGCCUGCAAGCGAAACUGUGGUGCUGGAGUAUGGGAGAGGUGCGUGGAAUUCCCGGUGUAGCGGUGAAAUGCGUAGAUAUCGGGGAGGAACACCUGUGGCGAAAGCGGCGCACUGGACCAUAACUGACGCUGAGGCGCGAAAGGCUAGGGGAGCAAACAGG
rnacentral:rRNA from 1 species